AGAGUUUGAUCCUGGCUCAGGACGAACGCUGGCGGCGUGCUUAACACAUGCAAGUCACGGGGGCCCGCAAGGGUAACCGGCGAACGGGUGCGUAACACGUGAGCAACCUGCCUUUGUGUGGGGGAUAGCCGGGCUAACGCCCGGGUAAUACCGCAUACGUUUCCUGAGGGGAGUCCCUUGGGAAAGAAACCUCCGGGGCACAGAGAGGGGCUCGCGGCCUAUCAGCUAGUUGGUGAGGUAAUGGCUCACCAAGGCUCCGACGGGUAGCUGGUCUGAGAGGAUGGCCAGCCACAUUGGGACUGAGAUACGGCCCAGACUCCUACGGGAGGCAGCAGUGGGGAAUAUUGCGCAAUGGGCGAAAGCCUGACGCAGCGACGCCGCGUGUGGGAUGACGCCUUUCGGGGUGUAAACCACUGUUGCCCGGGACGAACACGCCUUUUCGAGGGCGCUGACGGUACCGGGUGAGGAAGCACCGGCUAACUCCGUGCCAGCAGCCGCGGUAAUACGGAGGGUGCGAGCGUUGUCCGGAAUCAUUGGGCGUAAAGGGCGCGUAGGUGGCGGGACAAGCGUGCGGUGAAAGCUCGGGGCUCAACCCCGAGUCGGCCGUGCGAACUGUUUUGCUUGAGCACUGUAGAGGCAGGCGGAAUUCCGGGUGUAGCGGUGGAAUGCAGAGAUCCGGAAGAACACCGGUGGCGAAGGCGGCCUGCUGGGCAGUAGCUGACACUGAGGCGCGACAGCGUGGGGAGCAAACAGGAUUAGAUACCCUAGUAGUCC
rnacentral:rRNA from 1 species